rnacentral:rRNA from 1 species
AAGUAAAAGUCGUAACAAGGUUUCCGUAGGUGAACCUGCGGAAGGAUCAUUAACGAGUUCUGAAAGGGGUUGUAGCUGGCCUUCCGGGGCAUGUGCACACCCUGCUCAUCCACUCUACACCUGUGCACUUACUGUAGGUUUGGCGUGGGCUUCGGGGCCUCCGGGCUCUGAGGCAUUCUGCCGGCCUAUGUAUCACUACAAACACAUAAAGUAACAGAAUGUAUUCGCGUCUAACGCAUCUAAAUACAACUUUCAGCAACGGAUCUCUUGGCUCUCGCAUCGAUGAAGAACGCAGCGAAAUGCGAUAAGUAAUGUGAAUUGCAGAAUUCAGUGAAUCAUCGAAUCUUUGAACGCACCUUGCGCUCCUUGGUAUUCCGAGGAGCAUGCCUGUUUGAGUGUCAUGGAAUUCUCAACCCACACGUCCUUGUGAUGUUGCGGGCUUGGAUUUGGAGGCUUGCUGGCCCUCUGCGGUCGGCUCCUCUUGAAUGCAUUAGCUUGAUUCCGUGCGGAUCGGCUCUCAGUGUGAUAAUYGUCUACGCUGUGACCGUGAAGCGUUUGGCGAGCUUCUAACCGUCCUGUAUGGGACAACUUCUUGACAUCUGACCUCAAAUCAGGUAGGACUACCCGCUGAACUUAAGCAUAUC